rnacentral:rRNA from 1 species
AACGAACGCUGGCGGCAUGCCUAACACAUGCAAGUCGAACGAGACCUUCGGGUCUAGUGGCGCACGGGUGCGUAACGCGUGGGAACCUGCCCUUAGGUUCGGAAUAACUCCCCGAAGGGGGUGCUAAUACCGGAUAAUGUCUUCGGACCAAAGAUUUAUCGCCUUUGGAUGGGCCCGCGUUGGAUUAGCUAGUUGGUAGGGUAAAAGCCUACCAAGGCGACGAUCCAUAGCUGGUCUGAGAGGAUGAUCAGCCACACUGGGACUGAGACACGGCCCAGACUCCUACGGGAGGCAGCAGUGGGGAAUAUUGGACAAUGGGCGAAAGCCUGAUCCAGCAAUGCCGCGUGAGUGAUGAAGGCCUUAGGGUUGUAAAGCUCUUUUACCCGGGAUGAUAAUGACAGUACCGGGAGAAUAAGCUCCGGCUAACCCCGUG